CCCUUAGGGGCAUGUGCACGCUUCAUUAGUCCCCUUUCACACCCCUGUGCACCUUUGAUAGAUUCGCUGGAAAGACGGUCGCCUCACGGUGACUUGAACUCCGGUGGGUCUAUAACCAUUACACACACAAACGUAUGUCUACGAAUGUCAUUUAUAUGGGCCAUGCUGCCUAUAAAAACCUAAUACAACUUUCAACAACGGAUCUCUUGGCUCUCGCAUCGAUGAAGAACGCAGCGAAAUGCGAUAAGUAAUGUGAAUUGCAGAAUUCAGUGAAUCAUCGAAUCUUUGAACGCACCUUGCGCCCCUUGGUAUUCCGAGGGGCAUGCCUGUUUGAGUGUCAUUAAAUUCUCAAACCUACCUUUUGCUUUGCUGUAAAUCGUAGUGUUUGGAUUGUUGGGGGUUGCUGGCUUGUCACCGAGUCGGCUCCUCUUAAAUGCAUUAGCGGGACUUUGUUGUUGCCUCUGCUACAUGGUGUGAUAAUUAUCUACGCCAGACCGUACGCAAUGAUAGAGGGGGAGUCCAGCUCUCUAAUGGUCUUCUGACAG
rnacentral:rRNA from 1 species